rnacentral:rRNA from 1 species
CUACGUGCCAGCAGCCGCGGUAAUACGGAGGAUGCGAGCGUUAUCCGGAUUUAUUGGGUUUAAAGGGUGCGUAGGCGGCCUGUUAAGUCAGCGGUGAAAUCUAGGAGCUUAACUCCUAAAUUGCCAUUGAUACUGGCGGGCUUGAGUGUGGAUGAGGUAGGCGGAAUGCGUGGUGUAGCGGUGGAAUGCAUAGAUAUCACGCAGAACUCCGAUUGCGAAGGCAGCUUACUAAGGUACAACUGACGCUGAAGCACGAAAGCGUGGGUAUCAAACAGGAUUAGAUACCCUGGUAGUCCACGCAGUAAACGAUGAUAACUGGGCGUAUGCGAUAUACAGUAUGCUCCUAAGCGAAAGCGUUAAGUUAUCCACCUGGGGAGUACGCCGGCAACGGUGAAACUCAAAGGAAUUGACGGGGGCCCGCACAAGCGGAGGAACAUGUGGUUUAAUUCGAUGAUACGCGAGGAACCUUACCCGGGAUUGAA